rfam:Aspergillus aculeatus ATCC 16872 unplaced genomic scaffold ASPACscaffold_7, whole genome shotgun sequence.
GGGACGAUGGCGCAUCUGGGAGCGCGUCAGACUGAAGCACUAACUUCGGCCAGUACAUCUGCAAUCUGAAGGUGGCCGGUUCAAGCCCGGCUCGUCCCA